GUAUCGCUUUUAACGCUAAUUAUGUUUGCGAUAAACAUCUUGUACGUUAUAUUUUCUUUCAUGUACAUUUUCGAAUUGUUUUCAAAGCUUGCCAUAAUAAUCAUGAUAUCUAGUCGGUUUACAAAAAUGUGAUAUAAUAAGGGUCCAAAUACUUUCGCGAGUCGCUGUAAAAUAAAUACGUAUUUCGUUCGCGUCGUGCAAUACAAAAUUCGCGUAGAUCACUAUGUUCGUGUUCGUAAUACGACGAUAUAGGUUUUAUUGGGACGAAAAUGUUCCCUCACGAAAAUCCGAGUUGAGUGGGCGGAGACAUAACAACUCUACCGUCUUUCGUGAUCACAGUUUUAAACACUUUUUGAAGCGAGAUGAUCAUGAAUUUUUAAAUCGUUCGACGAGAAGACGAUUACGACGAGAAGAGAAAAAACACAGACACAGACAUAAAUUACACACGGACAAGGGAUAGAUAUUUUAUUUACCAUAGAGUUCUGCUUUGAUCGCGGAUGCUAAGACGAGGAGUAGGAAGAACAAGGCAUUCGAUCGAACGAUGCUGCACAUUUCUGUAAUAACGUACACAAAACUGACACGGCGAUGAGAAGUGAAACAAACGAUGCCGAUAAACCAAUCCGCGUGGCGUACGGUUCAAGACUAAACUGAUGAUCAAGCAAGCACGAGUGAUGCCAUGAAUCAGAUAGAAGGGAAAGACUCGAAGAAAGAUUCACGCCCAUAUGUUUUGGUCUUCCUGGUGGGAAGAACAGGAAUAGAGGAAAUGACAAAAUUAAAAAAUCAAUGAUGAAUAGGCGGCAAUGUUACGAUGUGAUUUACAGCGAUUAACGUAUUACGUAUUGAAUGUUAGAUGCCUCUUUAUGGACGUCGCAAACCGGAUUUGAACAAUGUAAUUAACGUUACACGCGGUAAUUUACGAUUCUUUAUUUUAAUAUUGUUUUAUAGUUGCUAAUAUUUAAUUUAAUAUUGCUUUUCCUUCCAAAAUUCAAUGAUUCCUCAAUGACGCUGUAACAACAAAUUGCCAAUUACCUCGGGACGAUGUUAUUUGGUACAAAGAUAAAGCGAUCUUGCAGGCAGAGACCUAUUUGGAAUUAUGUCAUGACGAAAGUAUAUUGAGAUUGAGAUUGAUGGUUAUUUGAGAAGACACGUCGAUAAUACGUAGUUGACAUUAAUUUAACAAUGAUUCUUGACAUAUUGUUAAUUACAAUAAUUGGGGUACAGUUAACGAUCACGCAACAAUUAAUCGCAGUUAAGAUAAAAAUUCUUACAUAAUAUUAAGUCA
rnacentral:misc_RNA from 1 species